GUCUGGAUGUGAACCUAACCCCUCAUCUGACUCCUUACUUCAAUUCUCCUUACUAUUCUCUGUGGUAUCUCUGAAGCCUGGACCUUGCUGAAAUGGGAGAAAUGGGUAUCUCUGAAUGUGAAAAGUGACAACUGACGUUUGUCUCAGAUCUUCAAUCUGGUGUGUCUGCUGUGUGCACAGAACCCCUGAAUGCAGACCAGCCCUGUUUUGAAUACUUAACAGCCAUGGCAGACACUGGCUAACACAUUAGUCAGCUCCUGUAAGUAAGAAAUGGUCAAUACCCAGUGCC
ensembl:lncRNA